rnacentral:rRNA from 1 species
GGCGCUUCCCGCAAAUUGCUCACAGGGGCAACCCUGAUCCAGCCAUUCCGCGUGAGUGAAGAAGGCCUUCGGGUUGUAAAGCUCUUUCGGCAGGAACGAAACGGCGCGCUCUAACAUAGCGCGUUAAUGACGGUACCUGAAGAAGAAGCACCGGCUAACUACGUGCCAGCAGCCGCGGUAAUACGUAGGGUGCGAGCGUUAAUCGGAAUUACUGGGCGUAAAGCGUGCGCAGGCGGUUGUGUAAGACAGGUGUGAAAUCCCCGGGCUUAACCUGGGAACUGCGCUUGUGACUGCACGGCUAGAGUAUGGCAGAGGGGGGUGGAAUUCCACGUGUAGCAGUGAAAUGCGUAGAGAUGUGGAGGAACACCGAUGGCGAAGGCAGCCCCCUGGGCCAAUACUGACGCUCAUGCACGAAAGCGUGGGGAGCAAACAGGAUUAGAUACCCUGGUAGUCCACGCCCUAAACGAU